rnacentral:rRNA from 1 species
GACGUAGGAGGCGAGCGUUGUCCGGAUUCAUUGGGCGUAAAGAGCACGUAGGCGGUCUGUUGCGUCGGCUGUGAAAACCCGGGGCUCAACCCCGGGCCUGCAGCCGAUACGGGCAGACUAGAGUUCGGCAGGGGAGACUGGAAUUCCUGGUGUAGCGGUGAAAUGCGCAGAUAUCAGGAGGAACACCGGUGGCGAAGGCGGGUCUCUGGGCCGAUACUGACGCUGAGGAGCGAAAGCGUGGGGAGCGAACAGG